rnacentral:rRNA from 1 species
ACACAUGCAAGUCGAACGGAGCUGUUUUCUCUGAAGUUUUCGGAUGGAAGAGAGUUCAGCUUAGUGGCGAACGGGUGAGUAACACGUGAGCAACCUGCCUUUCAGUGGGGGACAACAUUUGGAAACGAAUGCUAAUACCGCAUAAGACCACAGUGUCGCAUGGCACAGGGGUCAAAGGAUUUAUCCGCUGAAAGAUGGGCUCGCGUCCGAUUAGCUAGAUGGUGAGGUAACGGCCCACCAUGGCAACGAUCGGUAGCCGGACUGAGAGGUUGAACGGCCACAUUGGGACUGAGACACGGCCCAGACUCCUACGGGAGGCAGCAGUGGGGAAUAUUGCACAAUGGGGGAAACCCUGAUGCAGCGACGCCGCGUGGAGGAAGAAGGUCUUCGGAUUGUAAACUCCUGUCCCAGGGGACGAUAAUGACGGUACCCUGGGAGGAAGCACCGGCUAACUACGUGCCAGCAGCCGCGGUAAAACGUAGGGUGCAAGCGUUGUCCGGAAUUACUGGGUGUAAAGGGAGCGCAGGCGGAUUGGCAAGUUGGGAGUGAAAUCUAUGGGCUCAACCCAUAAAUUGCUUUCAAAACUGUCAGUCUUGAGUGGUGUAGAGGUAGGCGGAAUUCCCGGUGUAGCGGUGGAAUGCGUAGAUAUCGGGAGGAACACCAGUGGCGAAGGCGGCCUA